CGGCGGGGGGUUGGUUUGGGUGAGUGACCUGUGCUCCGUGUUCUCUCCUGAUCAAUAGCGCUGGCCGCUUAUCUCCUGCUUCCACUUACUGUUUGACUAAAAGCCACAUAAAGAGGAGCAGAACGGAGCAGAGCAGCCUGAACCGAGUUCCAAACUUCAGAACCGACCGAGACCGGCCGCCGCCACCAGACGCCUCAAGUUCAUCCCCAAAUCUGGUGGAAUUUUUCACUGGUGGGGCGUUGCUCUGGUUUUCGGAUGCAGUGGAGACCAGUGAGUGUGAGAGCAGCUUAAGUGGACCGAGAGCACAGGAGGUGAAGGUACUGGACUAGUGGUCAGAAGGUCACUGGUUCAACUCCCACAUCUGCCACGUAACUAACUGCUGGCAUCAUAUGCAGAUACAGUUCAUUCACUCAUUCAUUGUCUGUUUUACCACCACUUUAUUCUGGUCAGGGUUGAGGUGGGUCUGGUUCACUCCACAAAGAAAGGACCCGGACAGCUAAUCGAACCCAAGACCUUCUUGCUGUGAAGUGAUAGCGCUACCCACCAUGCCACCCAAUCAGUCACAGCUGUAGGUCUGGGAACUAACCUGCACUCACUAACAUCUCCUUAUAUUUCAUUUAAAACGUGUAUUAAUAAUAAUUAAUACAAUAUUUAAUUAAUAACAAAAAUAAUGAAUACAGUUGCAAAAGUUUUGGACACCCUGUAAAAAUCCACCAAUGUUUUGUUUAUUUUCUGAGUAAAACUAAGUGAACACGUCUGCACUGAACAAACAUCAGCAGAUUGCUGAUUAAUGCACAAAUAUUGUUUAUUUAUUUACCUUAAUUUAAUGUAACUGACAAAAUGCAAUACAAUAAGAUGUGUGAAGGUGCUAUAUUAAAUAUUAAACAAUAUUAAACUCAACAAAUAAAUAAUAAAAAUAUUUGCAUUAAAAUAUUAAAACUGCCAUAUUUAGGAAAAACAACAUAAUUUCAUUCAAAAGGAACUUGACCAUGUUUACCAGGGGUGUGUAAACUUUUGCAUAAGUAUGUCACUGACACAGAUAAAGGCCAAAAUAACGUCGUAUGGUCCAAUAAUUAUUAUUCGGUAUUAAUACAAAUCCUCUGGUUUCACCAAAAAGAAGCAAUAAAUCAGAUGAAAAUCGAAGCAGCGUUUUCCGAUGAAGAUUUGAAACAGGUUUGAACUCUUACCCCAUUCACACCAGUGUGCACUGCAACCCGACUCCAGUUCAGCACUGGAAUAACUGCACUGCAACCCGAUCUACCCCAAACAGAGCAGGAACUCUUUAAAGAACCCUCAGCUCAGCACAGCUCGGCACCCUCGACUCUUCAAUCCAUAAAAAUAAUCAUUAAAGUGAAAGUUCUACACAAAUACAGUCAGUUCAGCUGAAACUGUGGCACAUGGUGACGCCACACAAGUCAAACUGGUCACAUCAGAAAAUAGGAGCUGGGUUUGAUUCUCACCUUACUGUCUUCAGGAGUUUUGCAUGUUCUCAUGAAGUGCAGCGUGUAGACUUGCUCAUAUACAGUAUAUCACCCUGUGUUUGGUAUUUAUUGGUAUAACACCAUAUGUGUUUGGUAUUUUUUGUGAUGGGUAUUUGCCCUGCAGCAGGUGUUUCAGGGUGGCACCUGACCCACUGUGACCCUGAUUUUUGAUUAUUAUUAUUAUAAUUAAUAUAUAUUUUUCCAAUCUCAGUCAGCUGUAUGUAGAAGUGCCUGGUUGUUGAGUGUUGGUAUGUGAUUUGAAGAUUUGGAGAAUUUAUUACUAUAGAAAUAACAUUAAAUAAAUUAAUUUCUAAUAUUAA